rnacentral:misc_RNA from 1 species
UAAUUGUUGAUGGGUUAGGCAAUGAGGGUUUGGAGAGAGAAACAGAGUGCUUUGAUUGAUGAAUUAAUUUGGAAUGGAAAUUGGGUCUGUAGAAACUAGGAAGGGGGAGCAAUAUAUUUGUUGAUGUUUCUUUUGUAGUAGUCCAGGUAACUAAAGCAUGCUUGACAAUGGAAGAAAGAGAACUGCUCAAGUUGAGUUGAGAAGGAUGUGAGGGAGGCUAUUUGGUCAAGUUCAUUUGUUUGGGGAUUCAAUCCAAGUGCAAAAUUUAGGUAAUUCAGGUAAUGGAUGUAGAAGAGAAAGAAACUGAUACCAAAGAGAGUCCUUUGCUUGAAACAGUUGAUGUAGAAGAGAAAGAAAUUAUACUAUUAAAUAAUGACUUAUUCUCACCUUUCAAAGAUCCUAGUUAUGUUUGCACUGGGUAAACUUUCAAGUUCUGACUCUAUGGGGUAUUAAGCAUUGGAAUUUGAUGACAAGCAUAUGUAUAGGUGAAAAAGAAAACUGGAAAGGAGUAAAUGAGGGUAAAAAAAUAUUUUACUCAUUAAAGGGGCUGUGCUUACAACCUUUUUGGCUGUGGCAAAGCAAUAGCUGCGCCUAAUUUUGUAGACAAUUUCAAUUUCCCCACAAUUAUAUGGUUUUAUGUGGUUGUUCCUGUGUUUUCUAGAUUAGGGGAGGAUGUUCAAGAUG